rnacentral:rRNA from 1 species
GACGAACGCUGGCGGCGUGCUUAACACAUGCAAGUCGAACGGAAAGGCCCUGCUUUUGUGGGGUGCUCGAGUGGCGAACGUGUGUGUAACACGUGAGUAACCUGCCCUUGACUUUGGUAUACCUUCAGGAAACUGGGUCUAAUACCGGAUAGGAGCUCCUGCUGCAUGGUGGGUUUUGGAAAGUUUCGGCGGUUGGGGAUGGACUCGCGGCUUAUCAGCUUGUUGGUGGGGUAGUGGCUUACCAAGGCUUUGACGGGUAGCCGGCCUGAGAGGGUGACCGGCCACAUUGGGACUGAGAUACGGCCCAGACUCCUACGGGAGGCAGCAGUGGGGAAUAUUGCACAAUGGGCGGAAGCCUGAUGCAGCAACGCCGCGUGAGGGAUGACGGCCUUCGGGUUGUAAACCGCUUUCGGCAGGGAAGAAGCGAGAGUGACGGUAAUGGGUAAAGAAGCACCGGCUAACUACGUG